AAAAAAAAAAAAAAAUUACGAUCUUUUUUGUCUUUCUCAUUUUUUUUGUGGACUUGUGAACGUUUCUUACAUCACCUAGCUUCCGCACUAUUUUUCCUCCAUUAGCAAUAUCCGAUUUUCAUCAUGACUAAGGAUGAUCAAAACAAUGAUUCUGUUCCUCCAACUAAUGAAUUUCACCCAGCCCUUUCCGUGACCAACAUAAAGAAUCAUAUCCCUUUAAUUCUUGAUCGAAAUUCCGCCAAAUACUCAAAUUGGGAGGAACUAUUCGAGGUUCAUGCUCACGCAUGUGCUCGAUCAUAUUAGCUCCAAAACGCCUCGUCCAAUCGGGAUCUCUGACUCCCUAUGGCAGCGGCUUGACUCCAUUGUUAAGUAGUGGAUCUACGGCACAAUCUCGACCGAUCUUCUUGACACGGUUCUUUGCGAAGGUGAUACAACUCAACAGGUGUGGGACAAAAUCAAGGCCAUAUUUUAAGACGAUAAAGCGACUCGGGCUCUUUAUCUUGAAAAACAAUUUACAGAUUGCCAUCUUUCGUCUUUCUUGGAUAUCUCUUCCUACUGCAAACAGCUCAAGUGCCUCAAAGAUCAACUUGCGAGUGUUGACCACCCGAUUUCUGAGAAGAUGUUCGUGAUGUGUCUCAUAGCCGGUCUUCGCAAUACUGACUUUGACAUAGUGGCUUCGAUUCUGGCUCAAACCGAACCGCUACCAAGCUUUGAAACACCGAGAUCUUGUCUUCUUCUUGGGGAAACAAGGUGCUCCAAUGACCAAACCAAUUCGGCCCAAUCUUUCAUUACACAACAAUCGAAUUCGGGAUCCUCUGGUCAAUCGCACCAAUCACCGACGUCUGGCAGCAACUUGGCAGCGGCGGCUCCGGUGGUCGUGGCUCUGAUCGCGGCUUAGGCAGAGGCACUAAGGGCGGCUUAGGCCAUGGUCUUGGCAAAGGCAGGGGACAGCCUUCGGCGAAGCAACCUCACAACACUUCGCAACAGGGGACUCAACAAGGACCUCAACAAGGAGCCCCUCAAUGGGCUGACCCACAAUAAGGCCAAUAUGCUUGGCCACCUCCCUGGUAUUUCACUCAAAGGUGGGCUACCCCCCCUUUCCUCACUUUAGGCAGUAGGCCUCCAAUGGUCAAGCCCAAUAGAACUCGGCACCUCAGGCUCAACAGCAAGCAUACGUGGUUCUUCCUACUGGUUAUGGUCCUCUCAUGACUCCUACGGAUCUCGGGAACGCCUUGUCCACCAUGACCUUGGCACCCCCCGAAUUAUGGAUGGUAUAUGGACUCAGGCGCAUCUUCCCACAUGACCAAUAACUCCAGAUCUUCGAACGGAGAAAAUAAUAACGAGAUGCAAUAGUUCGGGGGAUCUUUUUCCUAUCACUAAUACCCAUCCAUCUACAUGCUUAGCCACCUACCUCACAGCCGCUUCACCAACCACUUGGCAUAGUCGCCUAGGGCACCCUGGGGCUUCUUUUUUAUGCUUUCUUAGGAGUAGAAAUUUUAUUUAUUGUAAUAAGAAGCAUGACUCCACCUUUUGCAGUUCUUGUCAAAUUGGGAAACAUACUAGACUUCCUUUCUUUACUUCUAAUAAUACUACUAAUUGUGCUUUUGACAUUAUUGAUGCCGAUAUAUGGACAUCCCCCAUCCGUAGUAUUAAUGUUCAUAAAUAUUAUUUGA